rnacentral:lncRNA from 13 species
CACCGUGUUAAUCAUUAAACUACAUUAUUUCAAUGCAAACAAAGCACAGCAGUCACUCACUCCACAGGCAAAGGGAGAGCCAGCCUGUCAAUGCUCACAACACUCAUGUGAGUUGUGCACUGAAGUCCUAUCAUGCCCAAUCGAGUCUUACUCUGCCAUCCAGGCAAGAGCGCAGUGGUGCAAUCUCGACUCCCUGCAACCUCUGUCUCCCAGGUUCAAGCAAUUCUCCUGCCUCAGCCUCCCGAGGAGCUGGGAUUACAGCUCAUUAUCUAUUUCAUUGUUGGAUCUGAAGUCUCCGCAAAUCACGCUGUGGGAUCUGUGGCUAUGCUCUGUACACCGUGGACGUGACUACAAUGGAGUAAGACCUUGGCAACGCUUCACCGAUGACCCAACAGGACAGAGACGGACAGAGGCAGAAUGCAGCCCCCACAGAGCACAUUUAACCUUCCAGCGGGGCCACGUCUGUCAAACAGAGGAAAUGAGUUUCUGUGACGCUCUCUCUCUUCCUCUUCUGAUAAAAUCAAAUUGAGUCUCAGAGGAACCCAAAGGCUUCUCCAUAGGACAGUUCAUAACAAGGCAGUGUACUUCAUCAGAACAAGCAAGUAAGAAGAGCUGGGGAGAAAGAGAGAAGAGGAGAUGGAAGUUACACACUCUUGGGAGCUAAUCUCAGAAGUGAUCGCUCAUCACUUGUGCCGUAUGUACUGAUUAGAAGUGAGUACCUAAUUUCAGCCACUAAAGGAGAAGGGAUAAUACAAGGAAGGGUGUGGUGGGAACACCAGG